UAGCUAGUUGGUGAGGUAACGGCUUACCAAGGCGACGAUCUGUAGCGGGUCUGAGAGGAUGAUCCGCCACACUGGAACUGAGACACGGUCCAGACUCCUACGGGAGGCAGCAGUGGGGAAUUUUGGACAAUGGGGGCAACCCUGAUCCAGCCAUGCCGCGUGAGUGAAGAAGGCCUUCGGGUUGUAAAGCUCUUUCGGCCGGGAAGAAAUCGCAUGGGCCAAUACCCUGUGUGGAUGACGGUACCGGAAUAAGAAGCACCGGCUAACUACGUGCCAGCAGCCGCGGUAAUACGUAGGGUGCGAGCGUUAAUCGGAAUUACUGGGCGUAAAGCGUGCGCAGGCGGUUUUGUAAGACAGGCGUGAAAUCCCCGGGCUCAACCUGGGAACUGCGUUUGUGACUGCAAGGCUAGAGUACGGCAGAGGGGGGUGGAAUUCCACGUGUAGCAGUGAAAUGCGUAGAGAUGUGGAGGAACACCUAUGGCGAAGGCAGCCCCCUGGGUCGAUACUGACGCUCAUGCACGAAAGCGUGGGUAGCAAACAGGAUUAGAUGCCCUGGUAGUCCACGCCCUAAACUAUGUCAACUAGGUGUUGGGUGGGUAAAACCAUUUAGUACCGUAGCUAACGCGUGAAGUUGACCGCCUGGGGAGUACGGCCGCAAGGUUAAAACUCAAAGGAAUUGACGGGGACCCGCACAAGCGGUGGAUGAUGUGGAUUAAUUCGAUGCAACGCGAAAAACCUUACCUACCCUUGACAUGCCAGGAACUUGCCAGAGAUGGCUUGGUGCCCGAAAGGGAGCCUGGACACAGGUGCUGCAUGGCUGUCGUCAGCUCGUGUCGUGAGAUGUUGGGUUAAGUCCCGCAACGAGCGCAACCCUUGUCGUUAAUUGCCAUCAUUUAGUUGGGCACUUUAGCGAGACUGCCGGUGACAAACCGGAGGAAGGUGGGGAUGACGUCAAGUCCUCAUGGCCCUUAUGGGUAGGGCUUCACACGUCAUACAAUGGUCGGUACAAAGGGUCGCCAAGCCGCGAGGUGGAGCCAAUCCCAGAAAGCCGAUCGUAGUCCGGAUUGCAGGCUGCAACUCGCCUGCAUGAAGUCGGAAUCGCUAGUAAUCGUGGAUCAGCAUGUCACGGUGAAUACGUUCCCGGGUCUUGUACACACCGCCCGUCACACCAUGGGAGCGGGUUCCGCCAGAAGUAGGUAGCCUAACCGCAAGGAGGGCGCUUACCACGGCGGGGUUCGUGACUGGGGUGAAGUCGAACAAGGUAGCCGUAGGGGAACCUGCGGCUG
rnacentral:rRNA from 1 species